rnacentral:misc_RNA from 1 species
AAGUCGUAACAAGGUUUCCGUAGGUGAACCUGCGGAAGGAUCAUUAAUGAAGUUUGGGCUUCGGCCCUCUCUCUUCUAAAACACUUGUGAAUCUACCAUGUUGCUUUGGCAGGUCUUUUGCGUGGGCUUCAAGUCCGCCGGAUUAGACCGAGAGGUGCCUGCCAAGGACAUUCAAUCACCCUUUUUUUAAUUGUCUGAUAUCGUUUUUAAACAAAACAUAAUAAAACUUUCAACAAUGGAUCUCUUGGCUCUG